rnacentral:rRNA from 1 species
AUUGAACGCUGGCGGCAGGCCUAACACAUGCAAGUCGAACGAGUGGCGGACGGGUGAGUAAUGUCUGGGAAACUGCCUUAUGGAGGGGGAUAACUACUGGAAACGGUAGCUAAUACCGCAUACCAUCAGAUGUGCCAAGAUGGGAUUAGAGAGUUGGUGGGGUAACGGCUCACCAAGGCGACGAUCCCUAGCUGGUCUGAGAGGAUGACCAGCCACACUGGAACUGUGACACGGCCCAGACUCCGACGGUAGGCAGAAGGGGGGAAUAUUGCACAAUGUGCGCAAGCCUGAUGCAGCCAUGCCGCGGGUAUGAAGAAGGCCUUCGGGUUGUAAAGUACUUUCAGCGGGGAGGCGUUACCCGCAGAAGAAGCACCGGCUAACUCCGUGCCAGCAGCCGCGGUAAUAC